UGUAAUUAGUGUCAUAGGACUGUGAGUAUCUCUCUUCCUUCUCUCUUCGAAUCCUCCCCACCCUGGCAAAGAUGAGUACUGUGUGCCCAUCGCUCCUUCUUACCAGCCAGCAGACCUGGCUUCAGGCAGCUUGAGGUCUUCUGCCUGGAGAGCUGCUGCACAGCCCGGGGGAUGUUGUAGCUAGUGCAAGUAACAAGAAGACGGCACUGCUGUAGCAUCCAUCUCUCUUUGAAGAUGUGGUCAAGAGUUACUGAGGCUGCACGUUUUCCUCGAGCUCUCUAAAAGCCUGUUUCUCCUUCCUGCGUUUAAUUCACCUUGGCUUUUAUUGCCUACAGAAAGUGCAGAAAGUGGCUGUGGAGGAGUCGCUGCAACCACUCGGUGUCAGCCCCAGCUGCGUUCCAUGGUGUUGUCCCGAAAGGUCGGGUCCAGCCAUGCUUGGCCCUGGGGAAGUGGCUCCAGAUGCUUGAGGUCUGAGAGCAGCUCUCCAAACCUCUCAGCCUGUAGUGGGGAACGUCACCGAGAUGCUUCCUGCUCCUUACACAGCCUGGAGAGGAUGAGGAACCGCAGGGAUGCACAGGGGCCGUGCUUACCCGCUGUGGACAGCCGGUGGCAUGCGUUCUGCUCGAGGACAUCCUGCCCUUGGGCACCUGCUGCAGUGGCAGCAGGGAUGCCCAGCCCUGUGCCACUGGGCAAUUGGAAAGGGCUUAAGGGGUCUCCCAGGCAUGCACAUUCUUGGUGGCUCUUGAAGAUGAGGGGGAACCCUCGCUGGGGUGCUCCUGAAAUCUCCCUGCAUCUCCAUCCUUUCCCAGCCUCUCUUCUGCUUCCUCUCAGCCCAUGUCCCUGGCUGCCCUCCCUGUGGCCAUGCCCGUAUAGUGUUGGUGUGCUCCCCGGUGACCCUACCAUCCGUCUGCAGGCCGUGCCCCCACCUUAGGGGUUUUCUGCCUCCAGCCCUGCCUGUCCUGCUGCUUGCCAAGGGGCUGAGGCUGGUUUUAUCAGCCCCAAGCAGUCACAGUCCAGGAGAAGCCAGCAGGAACUAUAAAAGAUUUGGGCUGUCCUUCCCAAAUGGACUGAGCGCUGCUUUGCAGGUCCUUUCCUUGCACAAGAGGGAAGUGCCAUCUUUUCUUACCCCUCCUUUCCCUCUGUCCCAGCCCUUAGUGGUGUGAAAGACUCGUGCAGCCCUCCCGAAAUCUGGCACGAAUUCCUUCGAGGACCUGACCCCACAGAGCGCUGCUUUUCCGGCUGCUUUUCACUGGUGUUUCUCCUUGCCCUUUGAGCGGGCAUUCUGCAACCAUUAAUGCAUGCUAAUGAGGCGUUCAAUGCCAUGGCAGAAUUAAAGAAUAAAGUGGUGACACGUACAUCUUUGCAGGAGCCAGAGCUCUGGCUGAGGGUCUGCUCUUAAAGCAGCAGCGAGAGGUGACAUCUGAUGGCACAUGCACCUACCCAAACCCUGUGUGUAGGCACAGCCACCCCCAUGGCCCGUAACCUUGUGUCUUGGGGUUAGGAAGCUCCAAAAUAAAAAACAAUACAGACUCUGAACAAAAACCGUGUCACGCAUUUGCUCCCCAGAGAGAGACAGUGUGCUGGGAUGGUCUCGCUUCAGUGCUCUGCUUUUACGGCCAGCUCAUUUGAUGUUUGCAUUUGGCCUUUCUGAUUACAGUAAUUUACAGAAAUAAACUUUGGGAGAUGAAUGCUGUAUUUUGGGUUUAGAGGCAAAUGAAGGACUAAAACAAGCAGCUUCUUUGGGAAGGGAGAAAUCCAUUCCAAAACCAUGGACCUUCAGUGAACUUGCACCAGAUUAUGUGUUUGCAUCCAAACGCAGAACUGGGCAAGGCUCCCGCGGCACUGGAUUUUGCAGAGAAAGAAUGUCUCUUUGCUCUGGAGACCACUCCUCAUGAUGAGGUCCAGCUGAAAGGACAUUCAGCCCAUUCGUGCCACAGUAGGUUGGGAAUUAGCCUGCUUUUCAUUUUAAGGAUGACUUGAACCAUUUGGCCCCAAAGUUCAGGCAUUUGGGAUCCUGCGGCUUUGUUUUGGAGCCAACUUAUAUUUUAGGAAUGAAUCUGGGGGGUUGGGUGUUGUUUUUUUUGUGUGCGCGUGCUUGAGAUAAGUCCAUCCCUGCUGGCCUGCCAUGCUGUGCCUGCAAAGGGUUGGGCCAAGGAGCACGUAAGCAGGGAGAAGCAGCUGGUCACGGAUCUCACGGCAUCUGCAGCAAGAGGUUCUGCACAUCGUAGAAGCGGAUCUCAUUCAUUAUGUGAUAGCAGAUGAAGUUCCCUGAAUGCUCCCAUGGUGCUGGAGAGUUGGCUUUUGUCAGCCUUUGGUGGCAAGUGCAGGAGUGUUGUGGUGGGAGAGGUGUCAGCGCAUCCCAUGGGAGACCUGUGGAGACCUGCAGCAAGGGGAAUGGAGAUUUCUGGAAGCAGGCAGUGGCACCAGCCCUCUUAGAGUUAGAGGGUUGGAGGGAAACACAGGAGGGGGAAAAAAAAUGGGGCUCCCCUCCCCACUUCCCAUCUGCCUUUAGGAAUAGUAUGAAUUAUUAGCCAUUUUUGCAGUGCCUUCCAUGUCAGGUCCUUAAGGGGUGAUGAAGCCAUGGAUGUACCCGAUUUGGCUGGGUGUUAUUUCAACACACAGCUCUAAGGGAACCAGCACACCCAUCCCAGUUUCCUCCUCUUGUUUCUGGGAGGGUCUGGCAGCCCCAUAUCUCUCCCUGCAUUGGUAGCAGAGUCGGCAGCAGGACCCAAAAGCUCCAAUUCCCAGCUCGGGGUCUCCAUCCAAAAGGCCACGUGUGGCAGGCUCAGCCGAGGCAGUUGUGUAAGCAAAAGCCGAGAGGUUUGCGGCGUGCUGAGGUUGCUUAAACAAAAAAUAAAUAAGUU